UACGAACUGUGCAAACGUUAUUCGGAAUCACUGGGCUUAAAGGGUGCGUAGGCGGCUUGUUAAGUAGGGUGUGAAAUCCCCCGGCUCAACCGGGGAAUUGCGCCCUAAACUGGCGAGCUGGAGUGAGAUAGGGGUGUGUGGAACUUCCGGUGGAGCGGUGAAAUGUGUUGAUAUCGGAAGGAACGCCAGUGGCGAAAGCGACACACUGGGUCUCAACUGACGCUGAGGCACGAAGGCCAGGGGAGCAAACGGG
rnacentral:rRNA from 1 species